GGAGAUAAGGUGCAGGUUGGUGGCUCUGGUCUUGCCUGCAUUCGAAAAUCGAAGGCAGAGAUAAGCAUGUAGAAAGCUUAUGAUUUCCUCGUUUGGACGAGGGUUCGAUUCCCUCCAGCUCCA
rnacentral:tRNA from 1 species